rnacentral:sRNA from 1 species
GCUGAGCCUGUUAUGCUUUUCUGCCCUUCGGCCCUUUGGGGAGCCACGGCGGGAGGUGGAGAUCCACCGGCGAUAUGUGGCCCAGUCGGUCCAGCUCUUUAUCCUCUACUUCUUCAACCUGGCCGUGCUUUCCACUUACCUGCCCCAGGAUACCCUCAAACUGCUCCCCCUGCUCACUGGUCUCUUUGCCGUCUCCCGGCUGAUCUACUGGCUGACCUUCGCCGUGGGCCGCUCCUUCCGAGGCUUCGGCUACGGCCUGACGUUUCUGCCGCUGCUGUCGAUGCUGCUGUGGAACCUCUACUACAUGUUCGUGGUGGAGCCGGAGCGCAUGCUCACUGCCACCGAGAGCCGCCUGGACUACCCGGACCACGCCCGCUCGGCCUCUGACUACAGGCCCCGCCCCUGGGGCUGAGCCGCUCCGCUCUCGCCCUCGGAGUAGCGGGUAGCGGCGUGGGUCAGACACAUCUUUGAACCUUGUGGCCAGGCCUGGACUUCGCCCCCAGGCCUAGGACCGCGGGCAGCCAACCAGUCAGAAUGCCUCUCAUUUAGGCCUGCAAGUCCCAUCCAAGGGAAAUGUGUGGAGAUGCAAGAAGGCAACACCAAGGGGACCUUAUCAAUAGCCCUGUUCCCUGCCCCCCUCCAAAGUUCCCCCCAAGGUAGGAAGGAAGCCCCACCUGGGGGUCUCCAGGAAGUCGAGGCUGGCCUCUGAGGUUCCACAGAAAAGCAAGACGGGGGAGUGAAGGAGCCGGCUGGAACUUGAUGCUCCAACCUCCAGAGUUUUGAGGCACAGCAAGACAGGUCCAGUAAUGUCCUUCCCUCCAGAGAGCGGGCCUUAAUUUAUGGACUGGUACUCUGAGUACUUCCUGUGGUGCAGCAGCAGAACCAAGCCGCCCCCUAGCAGCAUGAGCCCUGGGGCACCCAGGGCCACUGCCAUGAUGCCCAGGACUAGUGGGGACAAGCCGUCCACUGGAGGG